CGCGGGGAACUGUGUGAGGGGUGGGGGAAACUUUGAAAGUUGGAUGCUGCAGACCCGAUGACGCAACUAAGACACUGAGAGGUGAAGUAACUGCCAGGAAGGCCAGGAUCUGGGCUUUGCAAUCAGGGUUCUUCUUUUGCUGCAUCUGGAGGCAUGGGUAGCAAGAAACUAAGACGAGUGGGUUUAUCACAAGAGCUGUGUGACCGUCUGAGCAGACAUCAGAUUGUUACCUGUCGGGACUUUUUAUGUCUUUCUCCACUGGAGCUUAUGAAAAUGACUGGCCUUAGUUAUCGAGGUGUCCAUGAACUUCUGUGUAUGGUCAGCAGGGCCUGUGCCCCACGGAUGCAAACGGCUUAUGGGAUAAAGACACAAAGGUCUGGUGCUCUCUCGCCAGCCUUCUUGCCUACAACCCUUUCUGCUUUGGAUGAGGCCCUGCAUGGUGGCGUAGCUUGUGGAUCCCUCACAGAGAUUACAGGUCCACCAGGUUGUGGAAAAACUCAGUUUUGUAUAAUGAUGAGCAUUUUGGCUACAUUACCCAUUGACAUGGGAGGAUUGGAAGGAGCUGUUGUGUACAUUGACACAGAGGCAGCAUUUAGUGCUGAACGACUGGUUGAGAUAGCAGAAUCUCGUUUUCCCAGCUAUUUUAACAAUGAAGACAAAUUACUUUUGACAAGCAGUAACGUUCAUCUUUACCGGGAACUCAGUUGUGAUGAGGUUCUACAAAGGGUUGAAUCUUUAGAAGAAGAAAUUAUUUCAAAAGGAGUUAAACUUGUGAUUAUUGACUCUGUUGCUUCUGUGGUAAGAAAGGAGUUUGAUACACAACUUCAAGGCAACAUGAGAGAAAGGAACAAGUUCUUGGCAAGAGAAGCAGCUUCCUUGAAGUAUUUGGCUGAGGAAUUUUCAAUCCCAGUUAUCUUGACGAAUCAAAUUACCACCCAUCUGAGCGGAGCCCCAGCUUCUCAGGCAGACCUGGUGUCUCCAGCUGAUGAUUUGUCCCCGUCUGAAGGCCCUUCUGGAUCCAGCUGUGUGACAGCUGCACUAGGAAACACCUGGAGUCACAGUGUGAACACUCGGCUGAUUCUCCAGUACCUUGGUUCAGAGAGAAGACAGAUUCUCAUUGCCAAGUCUCCUCUGGCUCCCUUUACCUCAUUUGUCUACACCAUCAAGAAGGAAGGCCUGGUUCUUCAAGGCCAACAGAGGCCAUAGGGACACUAUGACCUUUGUCUAGAGCUGAUGGGGGCACGAUUUGUGAAAUGAAACAGGACUGUGCUGCUUGGAAGAAGGAAACGGAAGCCAACAUAAUGGGGAUUAAUUAGUUGAUUGCUGUUGAGAUGGUAACAGAUUUGCCCUCAUACCAUUGAGCCAGCCAUCUCAGACCUAGCAGGGAAGAUGAGGAAUGAGGAAGAAAAAUUCAGUCUCUUCCUAGAAAGUGAUGGAAGGCGGAGCUGAACCCAGGCCAUCUUGCCUCUUCCUCUCUCACCCUCGCCCGAGUAGUAAUUCUGUUCACAUCUGUUACCACCUCUCCUCAAUUCACUGGUCAUCCUCAGUUCACUAAAGUGCUCAGUCCAACACUCUACACAAAAUAGGAACUUAGUGAAUAUUUUCCAAAUAAAAGCAUCACUAGGAGCAGUGCUAGUGGUUUGAUUCCACUGGGAGAAGUGGCUACAGAAGACAUGGAUAGUGGUGCUGAGAAUACAGUAGGGCUCCAUCACUGUAUUCUCAUUUCACCGUUAUUAAAGAUGAGGAGACAUGCACAGGAAAGUGGCCCCAGGGAAUGUUUGCAAGAAGGAAGACACAGGUGGUGUUCAUGAACUGAAAAUCUGCCAAAUCGGUGCCACCCAUGAGAUGCUAGUGAGGCAUCUUGUAUUGUUAAUUACUUUUAUUGAACUUGGAUGUGAUGCAGUGAUUUUUUUCUUAGUGUGUGUGUACAUAUACAUAUGUAUGACAGAGUCCAACUCUGUCUCAUUAUUGUGCUAGCCUCCCAGUUGCUAUAUUGAUGUGCUGCAGUCCUGGUGAAGAUUGAGAAGAGUGUGUUCCCUCUCAACCCACAGAGUGAGCAUUUCUGGAUUAAGGCAGAAGUGCUGAACUCCAUGCACAGUGUCUUUUAUGUUGUAUAUGGUGAGCAAAGUUACUGCUCAGAGAGGAUUCUAAAAGUUUGUCCAGGAUUACCAAAUGAGAAUUCUGGAGAUGGAGAUUGAGGAUUAGGUAAUUGGCGGGUGGGAGCCAGGGGAGGGGAGGGAAAUGAAGUCAAGGGGAAGUGCAAAAUAUCUGAUUGUGCCCCAAAAAGCUGUGGUCUUAGAAGCACUUGGGAGUGUUAUUUUUUUCUGUUACUUUUGUCCUAUGGCUGUGAAAGGACUUUAUUCCACUAGAGAAUUCAGUGGAGGUCUCUUUUGCUCAAAUGAGAGGAAGGAGCCCAUCACAUUCUCAGAUGAAUGUCCUAAGUAUGAGAGAAGGCACAAGGCCUACUUCUCUGAAUUUCAGUGAGGACAGGGUUCACAUGGAGCACAAGUUCUCCAGAACUCCAAAUAGACCUGGGAGGAGAGUGGACCAAUAAAUACUGAGCAUACGACGGAACAGACUUGGUUUUGCUGCCGAAACAGCCCCCUGAAAUCACAAUGACUUAAAGUCUAUGCACAUCUGAGGGACUCUCCCUAGGAACGUGCUCCUCCAUGUAAUGACUCAGUAUUUCCUUUCAGUAUCAACAUGCACUUCCACAAUUGCCACAGUAGGGGAAGAGGGAAAGAGAAAGGUUGUGCACUGGCAAUUAAGUGCUUCCCCAAGAAAUGACACCCAUCACUUCUGCUCACAUGGCCAAGCAGUCAUGUGUCCAUUCCUAACUCCAAGGAGAUGAGAAGUACAAGCCUCCCCUGCAUUCAGGAGGGAAGGAGAACUUGAUGUUGGUGAACACUCGGAAGGUCGACCACAUUCUGCCACACCCAGUGAGCUGGCACAUGUCUUCUUCUUUCGUAUUCACUACUUAAAUAUUCCUUUCCCUUGGACUACCUGGUAUAUAUCAAAGACUUACGGGGUAGUGUUAAGGAAGGAAGACCAGAUAGUUUUACAGCCCUUUUGAGUUCACAGAUGACAUUUUUGAAAAAGAAGAGAAGCCAGGGAAACCCAGUUAACUCUGAGUACUCUUCCCUUGGAGCCAUCAGACUCUAACUCUGGGAAAGAGUGUGGGUUAGAGGAGCCAUGGCCUGAUUUCAGUAAUACAUCUAAGAUGGAACAACUCACUUUGAAUUGCCCAGGACUGUCAUGCUUUGCGUGAAAGUCUCCUGGAAGCAUGCUCUUCUGCCUCCAUUCCUCCCCUUGUUACCAGACAUGAUUCAAAUUUCCUCUAAGCCCUGUGACUUUUCCAGAAAGCAGCUCUCCCAGCAGCAGAGAGAGAGGAAAAAAAACUUUCCCUUAUUAUUCUUCCAAUAAUGAAUUCCUGCUCUGAGUGGGCCGCGUCCAUGUGUUUUCAGUCAAGUGCUGAUGGCAGCCUUGCUGGGGGACAUUUCCAAGAGGCUGUGGACAUAACAGAUGAGGGCUCAUAUUAACAAGAGCUGCUCUCGCUUUUCCUUCCAGUUCAGGCUCCCGAGUCCUGAAAUCAGAAAGGGAAAUGAUUCACGAGAUCUUGUCGCCGAACAAACAUGGCUGCCACACCUCUUUGCUCCUUUUAACUAGUAAAACAUCAUGGUUUUAAAGCUUCCCUCUGAGGGAUUUGUAGAACUGGAUCUCAGUAACUUAAAAAGGACUUUGCUUUCUCAGACCAAACCAGUUCUUUGUAGAUCCCAAGACCUCCUUUCUUCAGGACUCAAAAAUAGUCUUUGCCUACACUGACAUCAUAAGAACAAAGGGAGAAAUUUGGUCACACCAUUUUCUGCCUAAAACCUAGUCUCAAGGACACAAGAUGCUUCCAAGUAAGCAGUGGUGGUAGGCCACGUUUGCCUAGGGAACCAGCUUACUCAUUCACCUUGAAGCAAAUGUCUUUAGAUAAUAAUUCAGUUUCAACUUACCUACAUGGAACUUGUAGAAACAGUUAUAGCUGGGUUCUUUUGAUUGAGAAAAAUCACUUACCUCUGGUAAAAGGGAACAGGUGUCAUUAAGGAUACAGGUGGCCUAGAACUGGAAAGCCUUGAGGAGACAGAGGUAGCCCUGGGGAUUCAGUACCUUGGAGUCUCUGCUUCUCUCUGCAUUUCUACCUGAAGCUUCUCUCUCUCCCAGCAGACGCGCCCUACAGACUGUGUACUUCUGCUUACUCAGAACUUCAGCUUGCAUGUGGCUCAUCCUGGUCUCUUGAGCUCCUCUCUACACCGCAGCCUUUCAACUUCAGUUCCCAUUGGCCUUUUCCCUUGGUAUUUCCUAGUUAAAAUUCCUAAGAGACAAUCUCACUGGCUCAGCCUCCUCUUAUUGUUUUGUCUCAGAUAAUAUCAUUGGUCACUAGCCAGCUAGUCAGUUGCGGACUGAGGCGGAGGAGGUGAAAGUAUGGCUGCCUAAGCAGCAGCAGAUGUGGGCAAGGCAACUUCCAUGAGAGGGCUGCGAGAGGGUGAGGCAAUGAUGACUCCAGUGCACUGUUUGUGCCCUUAACUGGAUUGCUACAAGGACACUCACUCUCUCUUGCUGCUUCUUCCCUUGUUGUCACUGUAGACUGAUCUCUCCUGUCACAGCCUAGUCCUCCAUUACUGCUCAUCCCCUGACCCCUGACUCCAGUAUCCUGCUUCUCUCCUUGUUGAAGUGCCCAAUCACAGAGGUAUAGGACAAGUGAGUGGGAAGGAAGAGCUCUUAAAAUUUAUUUGAUAAUAUAAGGAAGAUUGGGAAAGGUGUGGUAUGGAAGGAGGAAUGGAAGUAAAAUCCUUUCUAAGCUAAAGAAAAUCCCGUUUCCACCAUGGGACCAGAGCACCUUUCCUCUUUCGCUUAAUCUUUGGAGCACUUUCCCUUUCCCUGAAAUCAGGCAUCAGUAGAAGCAAGAGAAACUUCCACUGGGGAAGCUUGACUGAGCCUUGAAGGAAGAUAUUCUAGCUCCACUAAUCCCAAGACCUUCUUCUGACCCCUUGUGAGGAUCCAUAGUCCCCAUCCCAGACCCUCCCCUUUGUCCAGCCAGCCUCCUGGAGUCCUGGUCCUAGAUCCCUGAAUAAGAAGUCCAAAACUGUUUACUUUCAAACUAAGAUUUAGAGCACAAGUUCUGUUCAGCUACGGUCUUUGCCAAUCGUGUUCUCUCGAGAUGCCCAAAGCUCUUCAUUGGCAGUUUUCACAAUCUUCAUGAUAUUUUUGGAGGACUGGUCAUGUGUGCUGUUGUGGUAUUUCAACUGAGUCAGAGAAACUGCUUUAUCUGAAUUCACACGUCAACUAGAGGGCCGGGGAAAAAUUGGAUCGUGAUAGUGGCUUUGCCUUUUGUUCAUUAGAGACUGUUGCCUUUAUACCUCAUCAAGUGGUUAAAAGGCCAAUCCAAACCGUCUCCAUUCAAAUGUCAGUAUUUCCACGUUCUUUUCAGUGCACAUGAGGCUAGAAGUGAAUUAGAAGCAAAUCUAAACAACUCUAUUUCCCUGCCCUUUCCUGAGUUCUGAGUUUGUCAGUGUUGAUUAAAUCUUUGGUCAAACCUUAUCCUGUGACUGGCACUUUUAUCUACUGACUAAAAUCGCAAAGUUUCCCUAGGAGCCUAUUACGGCAGACAAGGUAGUUCUGAUGGUGUUUCUCAACCUGCCGCUGUGGGAUUCUAGAGCCAGUUCCUCUGGAUCAUUUCCAGAUCUCUGCUUAUUCCAUUUAGAAUCUGAGGUUGAAGUCUGUUACCAUUGGCUGUCCCCUAGGAUCUGAGAACUCAUCUGGGGUUUGUCCAGCCUCUCCAACACCAUCAUCCAAACUCUACAGUCAUCGCCACUCUAACAGCUUGAAAGUGAUGCAAAGAUGGAGCAGAAGCCAGUUUGGAUUUAUCCCAGUUCUCUAGGCCCCUCUGGGGUUAAUCAGCAACCACCUAUCUUCGUGUUAAUAACAUAAGCUUCUCUCACUAGAACACCUGGAGGAAACCCAUAGGAAGGCUUAGGAUGAAGCCAAUUUUGCAGUAAUUAUUCUGACCAUCACUCGUUUUAGCUGGGCUUAGACUCUCCAGACAAAACCAGCUUGCCGAGCCUAACCAAGCAGCUGGAUGGAUCUGCAGUUCUCAAUGUUCCUUAAGCUGUCAUGGGCCUUGCUAAUACUUUCUAUGCCCACAUCUCAGCUCAAAGUCUCCUUCUACUGUGAACUUCAGGCAACAUCUCCCUAUUUUAGGUACACGGGGUUUAGUGAAAUGUCCUGAGUGCAUCUCACUGGUGGAAUUCUUUAGUGGCAUCUUCCCAGCCCUUUCCCUGCCCUCCCAGCCCAUGCUGAUGGUGGUAUUCACACUUCUGGAGAAAUAAUAGACCUUCUUAAUGGGGAUUGCUCACCACUUUUCCUAGUAACUAACCCAAAUGGCCUUGGGUGUUAGGUGAUUGCCUGUGCAGGGUGAAAGGGCCAGGGUCUGGGAAAGUGGACAGGGUGGAUGGGGUACACAUGGAAAACAGUUCCUUGCUGUAUUCGUCUGCAAAGGCUGCCAUAACAGAACACCACAGAAUGGCUUAAACAACAGAAAUUUAUUUUCUCAUAGUUCUGGAGGCUGGAAGUCCAAGAUCAAGGUGCCAGCAGGUUUGGUUUUCCUUGAGACUUCCGUCCUUGGCUUGCAGGCGAACACCUUCUUACUGGGUCCUCACAUGACCUUUCCUUUGUGUGUGCUGCUAGUGUCUCUUCCUCUUCUUAUAAGGAUCCUAGUCUUACUGGAUUAGAGUCCUGCUCUUAUGACCUCAUGUAACCUUAAUUACCUCCUUUUAAAGGCCCUGUCUCCAAAUACAGUCAUAUUGGGGCUUAGGGCUUCAACCUAUGAAUUUGGGGGGGGACACAGUUCAGUCCCUAACACCUGCCAUAACUCUGUUUCCUUCAAUAGAUCCUUUCCCAUCCUCUGAUGCCGCCCUUCUAAUCCUGAGUGGGAGAGAAGUAGAUACUGGUCAAGAAAUGGCAGGUGUGACUCUGUGCAGUCUGUUUGAAAAUAGCUCCGCUAGGGAGUGAGGGUGACUGAGGUAGACAGAGUGAAAAGAGAGAUGGAUGGAUACAUGAAGGGAUGGUUGGAUGGAUAGACAGAUGGAUGAAUACAUGACUUAGGUAGUACAUUGACAGCACCAGGACAGACAUUACAUUCUAUUUCUUUGAAGUUGUGGCUUUUUACAGUACAGGGGCUGCAAAUUCAAAUGUCAUGCUAGACAGCUAACAGAGUCCUAAAAGGAGGCCAGGUACAAUAAUAGGGAGUAGUGGGGACUGUGACAAAAUGGAAAAAGAACACCCUGCCUAAAGGGGCAGCAUGUGCUCAGCUCCAGCCAAUUGUUACUUUGUGGGAUGCCCACCUAAUGUUGCCAGAACCUCUGACUUUUUAAGGGAAGCCAGAAUCUGGAUUUUCAGAUGAAAUCUUUCUUUAAAUAAAUCGUUAAAUUAUGGCAACUAAUGCAAAAAUUAUAAAAUACUGUGUGGGUCAAAUAAACACAUUUACAGUCUGAAAUGAAUCCUGGAUGCUGCCAGAUUUCUACUCUUAGAAUACUAGAAAGGUGUCUGUAAUGUCAUCACGUGAGGGGGUGGGUGUUCAGGAGCUCGGGCUCAUGAGUACACUGCCUGGGUUCAUGUUCCAAUCUACCACCUACUAGCACUGUAAUCUUGGGCAAGCCACCCAGGUAACUCACAGUGUUGUAAAGAUGAAAUUAGUUAAUCCAUGUAGUGCCCAGAACAAUGCUUGCUGCCUAGUAAGAAAGCAAUAACUGAGCCAGAAUUAUUAGGCAGCAUCACUAAACCUUGUGGUUUCCUCAUCUGUAAAAUGGGGGCAACACUUGCCUUUCCUAGCCCCCAAGGGAUUGUUGUGAGAGUAAAAGAAGAAUAUACGUGAAAGGGCUUGCCAAGAGGGGCUUGCGCGUUGCUGAGAAAUAUAGCAUGCGUUGCUCACGUUACUGUGCCUAACAAGGAGGCUCAGCCUUCCCAGAGCAGGGCUGGGAAUCCCUGGGAGGAGGAGGUCAGCAGUAAUUAGAAGUGAUCCUGUGUCCUUCUAAGGGUCAUUUGGCCAUUUUGGUGUCUUAGAAUUUGGUGAGUUUUGCUUUCUUAUUAUGAAAUUUUAAAACAUUCAGAAAAGUAGCGAAAAUAGUAUAAUGAGCACCCAAGUACCCUUGUCUAGAUUUAGUCAUUGUUAGCAUUUGCCGUAUGCGCUUCAUCUUGGUGAGUAUUCCUGGCAGAGAUAAAAUCAAGGAGAUGCCAAUGAUUGAGGCCUACCCGUACCGAGCAGGAGCUGAGAGCCUGCACUACCUCAGGGAGUCCUUAUUUUUGCAAGAAAGCAAGACCCAGUCAGCUGUAGAUGGUUGGUUCUUUUGGGAUAGGACCCCAAAGAAGGGAUUUUGGGCAAGAUAGUUUGUUUUAGAUGAUACCUUCGUACCACCUUAAAGAAAGUGAUAUAAACUGGGACACAGAUUAUUUUAUUAUUUAUAAGAUUUUCAUUUAUUGCUUUUUAAGGUUUUUUUGCAAAGAGAAUGUAUUCAUGUAUUACUCAUGUAAUUGAAAACUAAACAUUUCUAAAGAGACUUUCCUGUAGAAAUGUCUCUGGCAUAAAAAAUUCAGGAGUUGAAACUGCGGUGGUUCUGUGAGAAGCCCAGUCAAAUCACGGUGAUGAAAAGAAACGGUGGUCGCUGAAAAUGAAAGGUUUUAGGAGCAGAAACACUCAGACUGAAAGGAAGUAUAUGCCAAUUAUAAAGGGCUCUUUCUGUGAAAGCGUUUAAAAGAGUCUCUAAGACAUAUUGCCCCAUUUCUCAGCAGUAGCCAUUACUGCAUGUAAAUGCGAAGGCUUCUCCCUGGAAAGGAUGUCUUACAACGUGAAAGCAACUAAACUUUGCUUUAAAAUUCUAUUAUUCAGACCCUUCAUUAAUUUAAGCUGACAUUCCUCCUCAAUUGGGGCAAAUCAUCAAAGCUUUAUUGUAUUGAGAACCUUGAAUUCAGCAACAAAGAGUGUGGGCUUUGGAAGGAAGGGAGGGCGGAGAGCUCCUGAGAGCAAUGAAGGGAGGGGAGGGGAGGGGAGGGAGGCGGCAGGAAGGAGGGGGAAGGGGAAAGCCUGGAGUACUGAGAGGCCAAAGGGAGAGGGGAGGAGUUAGACCAGCAGAGAUAAAAUGUCGGGGGACAGUAGACGGAGAGGGGCUUCGAGGGGCCCUCUGCCGCAAAGCUGCCCCUUGAGCCUCCGUUGAUCAACAUGGUAGAAGCAAAACCAGCCUGCAACUUUGCCCUCACCGCACAGUACCUGGCAGGAAGUCAGCCCCACGGGCCUGAGGCCUGCAGCCCCAGCCCCCACCCCUCCCCACCCCCCCGCCCCGUGCCCCCUCCACCAGCCGAGCCUGGCCCAGUUGCACCUCCACCCCAGGCCAUCAGCAGGGCUCCCUCUUCCUUUCCGGUGUGAUUUACUGCAGGACGAUGAUGUGGGAUGUGCUAGGUGGAAUGUAUUGGGUUCAUUGUUGAGGCAAAGGCAAGGAAGGGGCUUUUGAAAUGUGAGGACCUGGUCCACAAACCUGUGCUGAGCAGCUACGACUAUGCUAGAAUAAAAUAAGAUUUGUAAUACGAAC